AAUGAACGCUGGCGGCAUGCCUUACACAUGCAAGUCGAACGGCAGCAUGACCUAGCUUGCUAGGUUGAUGGCGAGUGGCGAACGGGUGAGUAAUGCAUCGGAACGUGCCUUUUAGUGGGGGAUAACGUAGCGAAAGUUACGCUAAUACCGCAUAUUCUCUGAGGAGGAAAGCAGGGGACCUUCGGGCCUUGCGCUAGAAGAGCGGCUGAUGUCGGAUUAGCUAGUUGGUGAGGUAAAGGCUCACCAAGGCAACGAUCCGUAGCGGGUCUGAGAGGAUGAUCCGCCACACUGGGACUGAGACACGGCCCAGACUCCUACGGGAGGCAGCAGUGGGGAAUUUUGGACAAUGGGCGAAAGCCUGAUCCAGCCAUGCCGCGUGAGUGAAGAAGGCCUUCGGGUUGUAAAGCUCUUUCGGCUGGGAAGAAAUCGCAUUCUCUAAUACAGGAUGUGGAUGACGGUACCAGCAUAAGAAGCACCGGCUAACUACGUGCCAGCAGCCGCGGUAA
rnacentral:rRNA from 1 species